rnacentral:rRNA from 1 species
AACGAACGCUGGCGGCAUGCCUAACACAUGCAAGUCGAACGAGACCUUCGGGUCUAGUGGCGCACGGGUGCGUAACGCGUGGGAACCUGCCCUUGGGUUCGGAAUAACUCCCCGAAAGGGGUGCUAAUACCGGAUAAUGUCUUCGGACCAAAGAUUUAUCGCCUUUGGAUGGGCCCGCGUUGGAUUAGCUAGUUGGUAGGGUAAAAGCCUACCAAGGCGACGAUCCAUAGCUGGUCUGAGAGGAUGAUCAGCCACACUGGGACUGAGACACGGCCCAGACUCCUACGGGAGGCAGCAGUGGGGAAUAUUGGACAAUGGGCGAAAGCCUGAUCCAGCAAUGCCGCGUGAGUGAUGAAGGCCUUAGGGUUGUAAAGCUCUUUUACCCGGGAUGAUAAUGACAGUACCGGGAGAAUAAGCUCCGGCUAACUCCGU